rnacentral:rRNA from 1 species
AUUGAACGCUAGCGGGAUGCCUUACACAUGCAAGUCGAACGGAGUGGCGAACGGGUGCGUAAGGUAUCGGACCGUGCCCCGUACCGGGGGAUAACUACGCCAAAGCGUAGCUAAUACCGCAUACUAUUGGAGUGGCCGGUACCGGAUUAGCUUGUGGGUGGGGUAACGGCUCACUAAGGCGACGAUCCGUAGCCGGUUUGAGAGGACGACCAGCCACACUGGGACUGAGACACGGCCCAGACUCCUACGGGAGGCAGCAGUGGGGAAUUUUGGACAAUGGGGGAAACCCUGAUGCAGCCAUGCCGCGUGUGCGAUGAAGGCCUUCGGGUUGUAAAGCACUUUUGGCAGGAAGGCGGUACCUGCAGAAUAAGCACCGGCUAACUACGUGCCAGCAGCCGCGGUAAUAC